GAUGAACGCUGGCGGCGUGCCUAAUACAUGCAAGUCGAGCGAACAGACGAGGAGCUUGCUCCUCUGACGUUAGCGGCGGACGGGUGAGUAACACGUGGAUAACCUACCUAUAAGACUGGGAUAACUUCGGGAAACCGGAGCUAAUACCGGAUAAUAUAUUGAACCGCAUGGUUCAAUAGUGAAAGACGGUUUUGCUGUCACUUAUAGAUGGAUCCGCGCCGCAUUAGCUAGUUGGUAAGGUAACGGCUUACCAAGGCGACGAUACGUAGCCGACCUGAGAGGGUGAUCGGCCACACUGGAACUGAGACACGGUCCAGACUCCUACGGGAGGCAGCAGUAGGGAAUCUUCCGCAAUGGGCGAAAGCCUGACGGAGCAACGCCGCGUGAGUGAUGAAGGUCUUCGGAUCGUAAAACUCUGUUAUUAGGGAAGAACAAAUGUGUAGGUAACUAUGCACGUCUUGACGGUACCUAAUCAGAAAGCCACGGCUAACUACGUG
rnacentral:rRNA from 1 species